rnacentral:rRNA from 1 species
UACGGAGGGUGCAAGCGUUGUCCGGAAUCACUGGGCGUAAAGGGCGCGUAGGCGGCUCAUGAAGGCUGUGGUGAAAGUCCGGGGCUCAACCUCGGAUCGGCCGUGGCGACUCGUGGGCUGGAGCACUGUAGAGGCGGGUGGAAUUCCGGGUGUAGCGGUGGAAUGCGUAGAGGUCCGGAAGAACACCAGUGGCGAAGGCGGCCCGCUGGGCAGUGGCUGACGCUGAGGCGCGACAGCGUGGGGAGCAAACAGG